rnacentral:rRNA from 1 species
AGAGUUUGAUCAUGGCUCAGGACGAACGCUGGCGGCGUGCCUAAUGCAUGCAAGUCGCACGGGGAGCUUCGGCUUCCAGUGGCGCACGGCUGAGGAACACGUGGGAACAUGCCCGUUUGUGGGGGAUAACGCGCCGAAAGGUACGCUAAUCCCGCAUACGCUCCUUCGGAAGGAGGAGGAAAGCCUUCGGGCGCAGACGGAGUGGCCCGCGGCCCAUCAGGUUGUUGGUGGGGUAAUGGCCUACCAAGCCGAUGACGGGUAGCUGGUCUGAGAGGACAGACAGCCAGACUGGGACUGAGAGACGGCCCAGACUCCUACGGGAGGCAGCAGCAAGGAAUUUUCGUCAAUGGGCGCAAGCCUGAACGAGCAACGCCGCGUGGAGGAUGACGGCUUUCGGGUUGUAAACUCCUUUUGGGGGGGACGAUCAUGACGGUACCCCCGGAAUAAGCCCCGGCUAACUCUGUGCCAGCAGCCGCGGUAAUACAGAGGGGGCAAGCGUUGUCCGGAAUUACUGGGCGUACAGCGCACGCAGGUGGUUAUUCAAGUGUGGUGUGAAAGCCCCGCGCUUAACGCGGGGAGGCCAGCACAGACUGGGUGACUGGAGGGCUGCAGAGGGUUGGGGAAUUGCCGGUGUAGUGGUGAAAUGCGUAGAGAUCGGCAGGAACACCAAGGACGAAGGUACCAACCUGGGCAGCACCUGACACUGAAGUGCGAAGGCGUGGGGAGCGAACCGGAUUAGAUACCCGGGUAGUCCACGCGGUAAACGAUGGAUGCUCGGCGUUUGGCGGGGAAACCUGCUG